AGAACCCAUCCUGAAAGACAUUAUCUAGCUUUGGUGGCUUAUACACAAAGCACCAGGUAGCACAACCAACUUUUGUACCUCUUUGCCCUCAGACUGCAUCCCAUUCAUUCAUACUCCUCAGCUCUUGAAAAAACCCUGCUGUUUGGUCUUCUCAGUAUGAAAUACCCCUUCCAUAAGCGACCUUCUAUUGACUUAAUUGGAAGUGUCACAAUAGGUGAAGCUCUUUGAGGAAAUGAGAAAGCCCUUUCUAUAGAGUGGUCUAGGCACAGAGUUUGUGUUCUGAUUUCCAGGGUUUGAGAAUGAAAGCUGGCCACAAAGAGAAAGUAGGUUUUUUUUCUUCAACAAACUAUGUAAAGCAUAAUGUUCUAGCUUUGGGGAUGAUAGAGUCAAGAAGGGAGAGCUUGUAUUAGUGGGAGUGGGCAGGAAUACACAGUCUUGAAGAUUUUUUUGUGAAUUUAUAAGAUGGAAGAAUAGGCGGAAGAGGUCUAGGAUGAAGGGGAGUUUUUCAUGAUAUCAUGUGGGAAUUUCAGAGGGCAAAGGACAAUGGGAACUAAGUAGGGUGAAGGCUGAGCUGGAAAAAGAUGAAAACAGAGGGAGUGUCAGCAAUGGAAGGGGGAGUUUCGUCUCAGCAGAUGGCAAUUCUGAAUCACAGGGAUUAUGGGGGAUGGAUAUCUGACUUUGCUAGUUACAAGAAGAGGGAAGUAGCAGCUGUGUAGGGCUUUCUGGGCUCCUUUGAGGACAAAGGGAACAUCUGUGCAUGGAUAGCACUAUCAGCCAUAUCUCUGCAUAUACUGGGGAACGGUGUGGGAGGCAACAGAGGAAUCUUGUUGGAUGCCUGGAUUAGGGAAUGUCUGAGGUCUGAGCCUGAAGGGGCCUAACUAAGCUGAUGCAUGAUCCAGUUUCUGCCUUAGUCAGAGGAAGUCUACUUUCCAUAAGGUAUCCAGCUCCCAUCUGGACAUGGCAAUUGAAGACCUGGUCCAGGACAAGGUCUUGGUACUGGAUUGAUAUGGAGGACUGAGGCAUUAUUGGGUUUUUAGACAGUUAAAGGAGGUGUAGACACCCACAAGAGUGGAAUCCCAACCUCCUAGCUUCAGCGAUGGUGAAGGAAGGAAAGAAUAAGAGCUUUGGUAUCAGCAAUGGCCCCUAGUGACUCGGGCAUCCAUGGAGAGCUAGUGCAUUGUUUCCUCAGAUAAUUUGGUGGCAGAAGCCAGAGAAGGUCCUAUCCAGGUAUCUAUUGCUUAAGGAGCAUCUUAGCUAAGAGUAGAGAAGUUAAUCCACAGAAGGGUACUAGGAAAUGCCAUAUUUUUAGGCAUUCAUGAAAUGUGACGGGAAUCAUAUUAAUGGAACUGUGAGGCAAAAUGGGUAAACAACAAAAUACUUGUUUGGGAACAAGGUUACUGGAGGCAUAGCCCCAUUUCUGUUGAAUCACUAAGCGGAUUUAACCAACAUAGUCUUUUAUGCCUUGUCUUUCCAUAGAAAAUUCAGCUGUCUUCAGAAGUAUGUAUGAAUUAUUUAAUAUUUUUUUCCCUUGUUGUGCUUGAACAUAUGCAUCCUUUAUUUUCCUCUGUCCCACCACUGUCUGAUGGCAGAUUUUGUAUGGCAUUCUUAGUUAGGGGCUUCGCCAUUUUUAUGAAUUUACCAGAAAGAGUUGCUGAUGAAAGAAAUAUAUUACCUAUCUCAUAAGAAAAGCAUUGUUGUUAAACCUCAAAGCAUUAUAUAAAUGUUGUUAUAAAGUUGUUAUUAUUAUUAUUACUGUCUCGUCUGAGCUCAGCAGCUUCAAAAACUAUGUCUGAAGCCAAAGAUGAGCAAAGAAUAAGGUUAAAGAUUCCUGGCCAUUUUGUUCUUUUCAUGUCGUUGACUUCUGACUUUAUGCCUGCAUCCAGAGUUAGCUUAGGGCUAUCUCCACCCUUAUUUGCUGAUUUAUGAAAAGAGCUUGUGUUUAUCUGAACAUAUUUAAAUAUUUUUUAUUAACUUCCUUGUAUUUAUUUCACAUAUACUGAUGUGUGUAUCUGAUUCAUCUGAGACAGAAUAUAACUUCCUUGAAAGAAAGGUAUUCACUUUUAUUUCUAGUGUCUAGCACAGUACUUGGCACAAGAGUAUUUCUAUUUCAACAAAGGAUAUAAUACAUCACCCGAAGGAAUGACUCUCAGCGGAAUUUCAAGAAUACUUUUGGGACCUCUUGGAUACUCUUCAAAUCAUAUCACAUUAGUCCUUACCUACUCCAUUUAUUCAAAAGGCUGACCCUGGUGUAAUGUUAAUAUAAUAAUAAAACAGUAAUUGUAUUCUAAAUGCUAAGAGGUAUUGAGAAUAUGAGAUCUUUCUUAAGUCCCAAUAGCCCUUACUUCUAAAUAAAACUUUCUAGAGUUUAUUAAUUGACUGCUAACUUUUUUUUUAGAUAGCUCAGGUAAGUUUAUUGAUCCCUACUUUCUUUUUCAGUAGGAGCAUCCUGCUCUGGUCUGUCACACAAAACAUGUCCAGGUUCUUCUGAAGACAGUCCUAUCCUAAAGAAACUGAGACCCUUGUGAUACAAAAAUAAAAACAUAUCUCUUUUAUCAUGAAAUUGCAGUUCUGUAGACAAUAUUAUGAUGGCAUCAAAAAUGACAAAUAAUUACCUCUAUUUGGAAAUAAAGUGUCUGGAAAAAACAAGUUUUCAGGAUUCUUUUUUUAUAUUUUUUGGAAUGUUCUUCACUGGAUACUGGAAAAGACUUUUAGAAGAGAUAUAAUGCAGAUGCCUAAUAUGGCAUCAAUUAGGAUUAAAUUAAGGAAUUUAAAUUAAAAUUCAAUUAAGGAAUGGGAAGAUUUAUUCCAAACUGUUCAGCAAUAGCCAUUUACCAAAAGUAUAUAGAUGUAGAUCAGAAGAUACAUAAUAUUUUUUAUCAUGCAAAAUAAAAUACUACAACCAGAUUCCUUCACAUUGUUCACUAUUUGCUCCAAUUUUAAGAGAAAAACUUUUCUUUUUUUAAAUAGUUUUUUUUUUGUAAAAGUUUUCAAUAGUAUUUUAUUUUUCAAAUACAUGUAAAGAUAGUUUUCAACAUUCAUUUUUGUAAGACUUUGGCUUCUAAAUUUUUCUCCUUCUUUUACUCCUCCUUCCCCCAAGACAGCAAGCAGUCUGAUAUAGAUUAAAUAUUGCAAUUCUUUUAAACAUAUGUCCAUAUUUCUCAUGUUGUCCAGGAAAAAUCAACCCUAAAGGGAAAAAAACCAUGAGAAAGAAAACAAGCAAAAAGUGAAAAUACUAUGUUUCAAUCUCUGGAUGCAGAUGGCUUUUUCCAUCAUAAGUCUGUUAGAAUUGUCUUGAAUCAGCACAUACCACUAUAGAAUUGAAAAAGCCAGAAAAGCCAAGUCCAUUACAGUUGAUCAUCACAUAAUCUUCCUGUUACUGUGUAUGUUUUCUUGGUUUGCUGAGUAUCAAUUCAUGUAAGUCUUUCCAGGUUUUUCUGGGAUCAGCCUGCUCAUCAUCUCUUAUAGAACAAUAAUAUUCCAUAACAUUGAUAUACCAGAAUUUAUUCAGCCAUUCUCCAACUAAUGGGCAUCCACCAAGUUUCUAGUUCCUUAACAGUACAAAAAGAGCUGCUACAAACAUUUUUGCACAUAUGGGUCCUUUUCCCUCUUUUAUGAAGGAAAAUGACUUUCUAAUGAACUUUUUAGGUUCCCAAGUCUUAGAAUUAAUUACUCUUUCAUUUCCUCACCAUUUAAGGUCAAUUAAUAAUAAUCUAUGGAUAGCUUAAACACCUGAGAAUUUAAAGUCAGUUUUCAUGCCAUUCUUUUACUACUUUCCCUCAAUGACCCACAAAAAUAGAUUGAGCAAUAUAAAUUAAUUUUAACAGUUUAAACAAAAUAACAUUGAACAGCAAAUUUGAGGCAAAAAUAUUUUAAUCAAAUAUUCUUACUGCUGUCCCCUUUCUAGUAACAUAGGUGGCAAACAAUUCACUGUACUUGCAAUUUAAUAUACUUUUUUUUUUUUUUGGCAGGUGAUGCUUCCUUUUCAAGCUAUGAAUCUGGGUUCAUUAAAAAUUGAUCCAGUCUUCCUUGCUGCCUUCCGGAGAAGGUGGUGCAAUGGGUAGAACAUUGGAUCAGGAAACAGGAAGACCAUUUCAAAUCCAGUUUCACAUACUAGCUGUAUGAGUCCUCGGUGACUGAGGACAUCACUGAACUUUUGACUGCCUCAGUUUCCUUAACUGUAAAAUGGGAAUCAUUAUAGCACCUGUCCCUGGGUUGUUGUGAUGAUCAAAUGAGAUAUUAUUUAUAAAAGUAUUUAGCACAGUACCUAGCACAGAAUAGGUGCCUAAUAAAUACUUGUUCUUUC